GCCGGCGUGGCGUAGUGGUUAGCUCAUCUGCCUAGUGAGCAGAAGACCUGGGUUCGAAUCCCGGCCUUGGUA
rnacentral:tRNA from 1 species